AAAAGUUUUGGCAAUGAUACCGUAAGAAAGUAAAUCAAAAAUACAUUAAAAAAAAGGUUGUGAUUUUUCGAUUAAAUCAAUUUUUCAGGUAAAAACCGUCGACUGUAUUUUAAUAAAAUAGUGAAAUUGUGAAAUUGUACGUUUUCUUACGUUUUUUCCCACUUAAAUGUGUUUAUUUAAAAAAUGGCGUCGAAAAUCAAAAAAAAAAAAACGACCCGUUUUAAGUACAAUUUCAACAGCUUGAACUUUUAGAAAAGACGCUACACGUAAAUCGGAGCAAGUUUACUAGGA